rnacentral:rRNA from 1 species
CCUAAGGGGCGCAGCAGUGGGGAAUCUUCCGCAAUGGGCGCAAGCCUGACGGAGCAAUGCCGCGUGAACGAAGAAGGUCUUCGGAUUGUAAAGUUCUGUCCUUAUCGAAGAGAGGGUAUAGAGUGAAAAAUGAUAUACUAGGACGGUAGAUGAGGAGGAAGCCCCGGCUAACUACGUGCCAGCAGCCGCGGUAAUACGUAGGGGGCGAGCGUUAUCCGGAUUUACUGGGUGUAAAGGGAGCGUAGGCGGCCUGGCAAGCCUGAUGUGAAAUACCGGGGCCCAACCCCGGGGCUGCAUUGGGAACU